AGAGUUUGAUCCUGGCUCAGAUUGAACGCUGGCGGCAUGCCUUACACAUGCAAGUCGAACGGCAGCACGGGAGCAAUCCUGGUGGCGAGUGGCGAACGGGUGAGUAAUGUAUCGGAACGUGCCCAAUCGUGGGGGAUAACGUAGCGAAAGUUACGCUAAUACCGCAUACGAUCUACGGAUGAAAGCGGGGGAUCGCAAGACCUCGCGCGAUUGGAGCGGCCGAUAUCAGAUUAGGUUGUUGGUGGGGUAAAGGCUCACCAAGCCGAUGAUCUGUAGCUGGUCUGAGAGGACGACCAGCCACACUGGGACUGAGACACGGCCCAGACUCCUACGGGAGGCAGCAGUGGGGAAUUUUGGACAAUGGGCGAAAGCCUGAUCCAGCAAUGGCCGCGUGCAGGACGAAGGCCUUCGGGUUGUAAACUGCUUUUGUACGGAACGAAACAGCUCUUUCUAAUAAAGAGAGCAAAUGACGGUACCGUAAGAAUAAGCACCGGCUAACUACGUGCCAGCAGCCGCGGUAAUACGUAGGGUGCAAGCGUUAAUCGGAAUUACUGGGCGUAAAGCGUGCGCAGGCGGUUUUAUAAGACAGAGGUGAAAUCCCCGGGCUCAACCUGGGAACUGCCUUUGUGACUGUAAGGCUAGAGUGUGUCAGAGGGGGGUAGAAUUCCACGUGUAGCAGUGAAAUGCGUAGAUAUGUGGAGGAAUACCGAUGGCGAAGGCAGCCCCCUGGGAUAACACUGACGCUCAUGCACGAAAGCGUGGGGAGCAAACAGGAUUAGAUACCCUGGUAGUCCACGCCCUAAACGAUGUCUACUAGUUGUCGGGACUUAAUUGUCUUGGUAACGCAGCUAACGCGUGAAGUAGACCGCCUGGGGAGUACGGUCGCAAGAUUAAAACUCAAAGGAAUUGACGGGGACCCGCACAAGCGGUGGAUGAUGUGGAUUAAUUCGAUGCAACGCGAAAAACCUUACCUACCCUUGACAUGGUUGGAAUCCCGAAGAGAUUUGGGAGUGCUCGCAAGAGAACCAAUACACAGGUGCUGCAUGGUUGCCGUCAGCUCGUGUCGUGAGAUGUUGGGUUAAGUCCCGCAACGAGCGCAACCCUCGUUCUGUGUUACCAGCAUUUAGUUGGGGACUCACAGGAGACUGCCGGGGUCAACUCGGAGGAAGGUGGGGAUGACGUCAAAUCAUCAUGCCCCUUAUGUCUUGGGCUGCACGCAUGCUACAAUGGCCGGUACAAAGUGCUGCGAGAUCGUAAGAUUGAGCGAAUCACAUAAAGCCGGUCUCAGUUCGGAUUGAGGUCUGCAACUCGACCUCAUGAAGUCGGAGUUGCUAGUAAUCGUAGAUCAGCAACGCUACGGUGAAUACGUUCCCGGGGCUUGUACACACCGCCCGUCACGUCACGAAAGUCGGUAACACCCAAAGUUAGUGGCCCAACCGCAAGGGGGGAGCUACCUAAGGUGGGAUCGGUGAUUGGGACGAAGUCGUAACAAGGUAGCCGUACCGGAAGGUGCGGCUGGAUCACCUCCUU
rnacentral:rRNA from 1 species